AUGCCUUCCACACCUUCCAUGGCACCCGAUCUAGUGAAUGCUUCAAAUUCUUACUAUAUGCUUCUUCGAGAGUUGUUCUUCCGUUUGGUCUUUGGUCUUCAAGUUGAGUCUUCCCUUUCCAUGGAGAUAAUUGCCUUUUGGUUGUGGCUCCAAGGGAAUGGCCAAGUUGAUUUCCUUCGGCGCAUAUACUCUUUUGGUGACAACCAUUUUUGUGCCCUUGUUUCUUCUGCAAAACGUUUUCUGGAACUUCUCCAUUUCGGAUUUGAUGAUUUAGCGAGCAGAUCUAUACCAAGAAGUGACUUUAAGAAGGAAGCUGUUGAAGGAAUUUCUUUCUACCUCAAUGGUAUCUGUUACGAGGCCUUGGAAGAUCUUCGAGAAAGAAUAGAGAUGGAUUUUAUCCAUAAUCAGAGGACAUAUCUGCGCCAU
rnacentral:rRNA from 1 species